rnacentral:rRNA from 1 species
CGGCGAGCGGCGAACGGGUGAGUAAUACAUCGGAACGUGUCCAGUAGCGGGGGAUAACCUGUCGAAAGAUAGGCUAAUACCGCAUACGAUCUACGGAUGAAAGCGGGGGACCGCAAGGCCUCGCACUAUUGGAGCGGCCGAUGUCGGAUUAGCUAGUUGGCGGGGUAAAAGCCCACCAAGGCGACGAUCCGUAGCUGGUCUGAGAGGACGACCAGCCACACUGGAACUGAGACACGGUCCAGACUCCUACGGGAGGCAGCAGUGGGGAAUUUUGGACAAUGGGGGCAACCCUGAUCCAGCCAUGCCGCGUGAGUGAAGAAGGCCUUCGGGUUGUAAAGCUCUUCGGCGGGGACGAAACGGUUCGUGACAACACCACGAACUAAUGACGGUACUCGCAGAAGAAGCACCGGCUAACUACGUGCCAGCAGCCGCGGUAAUACGUAGGGUGCGAGCGUUAAUCGGAAUUACUGGGCGUAAAGCGUGCGCAGGCGGCGGCUCAAGUCAGGUGUGAAAUCCCCGGGCUUAACCUGGGAAUUGCGCUUGAAACUAGGUCGCUAGAGUGUGGCAGAGGGGGGUGGAAUUCCACGUGUAGCAGUGAAAUGCGUAGAGAUGUGGAGGAACACCGAUGGCGAAGGCAGCCCCCUGGGUCAACACUGACGCUCAGGCACGAAAGCGUGGGGAGCAAACAGGAUUAGAUACCCUGGUAGUCCACGCCCUAAAC